rnacentral:rRNA from 1 species
AUUGAACGCUGGCGGCAGGCCUAACACAUGCCAGUCGAGCGGAGCGGCGGACGGGUGAGUAAUGCCUAGGAAUCUGCCUGUUCGUGGGGGAUACCGUCCGGAAACGGGCCCUAAUACCGCAUACUAUCAGAUGAGCCUAGGUCGGAUUAGCUAGUUGGUGGGGUAAAGGACUACCAAGGCGACGAUCCGUAACUGGUCUGAGAGGAUGAUCAGUCACACGGGAAAUGAGACACGGUCCAGACUACUAAGGGAGGCAGCAGUGGGGAAGAUUGGGAAAUGGGCGAAAGCCUGAACCAGCCAUGCCGUGUGUGUGAAGAAGGUCGUCGGAUUGUAAAGCACGUUAAGUUGGGAGGCGUUACCAACAGAAUAAGCACCGGCUAACUUCGUGCCAGAAGCCGCGGUAAUUC